UACGUAGGUGGCGAGCGUUGUCCGGAUUUACUGGGCGUAAAGAGCGCGCAGGCGGUCGUGCAAGUCGCGUGUGAAAGCCCCCGGCUCAACUGGGGAGGGUCACGCGAUACUGCUCGACUCGAAGGCAGGAGAGGGAAGCGGAAUUCCCGGUGUAGUGGUGAAAUGCGUAGAUAUCGGGAGGAACACCAGUGGCGAAGGCGGCUUCCUGGCCUGUUCUUGACGCUGAGGCGCGAAAGCUAGGGGAGCAAACGGGG
rnacentral:rRNA from 1 species